rnacentral:rRNA from 1 species
GACGAACGCUGGCGGCGUGCCUAAUACAUGCAAGUCGAACGCAGUGGGGACGGGUGAGUAACACGUGGGUAACCUCCCAUCAGAGGGGAUAACACUUGGAAACAGGUGCUAAACCGAUACUGAUGGAUGGACUCGCGGUGCAUUAGCUAGUUGGGGGGGUAACGGCUCACCAAGGCCACGAUUCAUAGCCGACCUUAGAGGUGGAUCGGCCACACGGGGACUGAUACACGGCCCGGACGCCUACGGGAUGCAGCAGUAGGGAAUCUUCGGCAAUGGACGAAAGUCUGACCGAGCAACGCCGCGUGAGUGAAGAAGGUUUUCGGAUCGUAAAGCUCUGUUGUUGGAGAAGCGGUAUCUGACCAGAAAGCCACGGCUAACUACGUGCCAGCAGCCGCGGUAAUUC